rnacentral:misc_RNA from 1 species
AACGCAUAUUGCGCUCGAGGCUCCGGCCAAGAGCAUGUCUGCCUCAGCGUCGGGUUAAUAUCACACUCCUUACUCCUGUAUGGGAGUAAUCAUAGUGUGGAACUGGCUGUUCCAGCGUGGUGUUUAUGAUCCUGUCAAAGGGACUCUGAACAAUCAAACCUGCUGGAUCAGCUGAAGUGCAGAGGCUAACCAAGGACCCGCUAAGGGCCGCAACUGGGUAGGCAUUAACAAUGCUAUCAUGCUUAGUUGUUGGUCUGGGACUUUGAUUGUCAGCCCUCAAACAGGAACCUUUAACCCCUUAUUUUCUCGACCUGAGCUCAGGCAAGAACACCCGCUGAACUUAA